rnacentral:lncRNA from 1 species
ACUACUAUUUGCAGCAACUAUCUUUGGGAAUCAACCAUGUUCUUAAUAAGUUUUCUCCACUAUCAUCUAUAUAGGUGUCUAACUCCGUGCAGUCUUCAACUUCCUUUCUAGAACUGAUACCCUGCCUUUGCUCUCCUUAAUACUAAACUGAGGGGGAUCAAACAUAAGACAACUAUUAAAGGGGAUAACGAGUCUCCUAUGAAAAUUCCUCUCUUGAUAUCAACUUUUCUUAAGACUGUGUCACGUUCGAUCACAAUUCGUGAACAAAGGCCCUUUGUCUUUCAUCUUGAGUUUUGAUUGGUUCGAAUGCUGACAUAACAGCGUGAACAAGAUACACUCCAUUACCUGAAAAACC